AGUGUGUUUCGACACACUAUCAUUAACUGAAUCCAUAGGUUAAUGAGGCGAACCGGGGGAACUGAAACAUCUAAGUACCCCGAGGAAAAGAAAUCAACCGAGAUUCCCCCAGUAGCGGCGAGCGAACGGGGAGCAGCCCAGAGCCUGAAUCAGUAUGUGUGUUAGUGGAAGCGUCUGGAAAGGCGCGCGAUACAGGGUGACAGCCCCGUACACAAAAAUGCACAUGCUGUGAGCUCGAUGAGUAGGGCGGGACACGUGGUAUCCUGUCUGAAUAUGGGGGGACCAUCCUCCAAGGCUAAAUACUCCUGACUGACCGAUAGUGAACCAGUACCGUGAGGGAAAGGCGAAAAGAACCCCGGCGAGGGGAGUGAAAAAGAACCUGAAACCGUGUACGUACAAGCAGUGGGAGCACGCUUAGGCGUGUGACUGCGUACCUUUUGUAUAAUGGGUCAGCGACUUAUAUUCUGUAGCAAGGUUAACCGAAUAGGGGAGCCGAAGGGAAACCGAGUCUUAACUGGGCGUUAAGUUGCAGGGUAUAGACCCGAAACCCGGUGAUCUAGCCAUGGGCAGGUUGAAGGUUGGGUAACACUAACUGGAGGACCGAACCGACUAAUGUUGAAAAAUUAGCGGAUGACUUGUGGCUGGGGGUGAAAGGCCAAUCAAACCGGGAGAUAGCUGGUUCUCCCCGAAAGCUAUUUAGGUAGCGCCUCGUGAAUUCAUCUCCGGGGGUAGAGCACUGUUUCGGCAAGGGGGUCAUCCCGACUUACCAACCCGAUGCAAACUGCGAAUACCGGAGAAUGUUAUCACGGGAGACACACGGCGGGUGCUAACGUCCGUCGUGAAGAGGGAAACAACCCAGACCGCCAGCUAAGGUCCCAAAGUCAUGGUUAAGUGGGAAACGAUGUGGGAAGGCCCAGACAGCCAGGAUGUUGGCUUAGAAGCAGCCAUCAUUUAAAGAAAGCGUAAUAGCUCACUGGUCGAGUCGGCCUGCGCGGAAGAUGUAACGGGGCUAAACCAUGCAC
rnacentral:rRNA from 1 species